rnacentral:ncRNA from 1 species
AAGGGGGUGCCUCUUUCAUGAGGCUGAGAUUAUACCCGAUGAACCUGAUACGGUUAGUACCGUCGUAGGGAGUUUUU